GUGGACGCCAGUCUGCAUGGAGCCGACCUUGAAAUACCACCCUUUAAUGUUUGAUGUUCUAACGUGGACCCGUUACCCGGGUUGCGGACAGUGUCUGGUGGGUAGUUUGACUGGGGCGGUCUCCUCCUAAAGAGUAACGGAGGAGCACGAAGGUUGGCUAAUCCUGGUCGGACAUCAGGAGGUUAGUGCAAUGGCAUAAGCCAGCUUGACUGCGAGCGUGACGGCGCGAGCAGGUGCGAAAGCAGGUCAUAGUGAUCCGGUGGUUCUGAAUGGAAGGGCCAUCGCUCAACGGAUAAAAGGUACUCCGGGGAUAACAGGCUGAUACCGCCCAAGAGUUCAUAUCGACGGCGGUGUUUGGCACCUCGAUGUCGGCUCAUCACAUCCUGGGGCUGAAGUAGGUCCCAAGGGUAUGGCUGUUCGCCAUUUAAAGUGGUACGCGAGCUGGGUUUAGAACGUCGUGAGACAGUUCGGUCCCUAUCUGCCGUGGGCGCUGGAGAACUGAGGGGGGCUGCUCCUAGUACGAGAGGACCGGAGUGGACGCAUCACUGGUGUUCGGGUUGUCAUGCCAAUGGCACUGCCCGGUAGCUAAAUGCGGAAGAGAUAAGUGCUGAAAGCAUCUAAGCACGAAACUUGCCCCGAGAUGAGUUCUCCCUGAGACUUUAGGUCUCCUGAAGGAACGUUGAAGACGACGACGUUGAUAGGCCGGGUGUGUAAGCGCAGCGAUGCGUUGAGCUAACCGGUACUAAUGAACCGUGAGGCUUAACCUUACAACGCCG
rnacentral:rRNA from 2 species